AAUUUUCUUUGCAUUUCACUUUUAUCGUUAUACAGGGUAAAAUUGUCAGAGAGAGGGCCUAUAUCUAGAGACUAACAUUAAUUGUUUUCUCCGUCUCGCGCGUAAUAUUCACAACAAAAGUAUUUCUUAUUUCGAUCGCGACUCUCUGUUCACUCGAGUAAGGCAAAGAAACCUUUGUAUAUUUUAUGAAAUAAAAUGUACUUUAUUGUGUACCAUGAACGAAUGCAAUUUUUAUAUUUGUACUUUUCAAUAAGACGUUAGGAGUAACAGAAUGAAGAAAAAU